rnacentral:rRNA from 1 species
GGUUAAGCGACUAAGCGUACACGGUGGAUGCCCUGGCAGUCAGAGGCGAUGAAGGGCGUGCUAAUCUGCGAUAAGCGCCGGUAAGGUGAUAUGAACCGUUAUAACCGGCGAUACCCGAAUGGGGAAACCCAGUGUGAUUCGUCACACUAUCAUUAACUGAAUCCAUAGGUUAAUGAGGCGAACCGGGGGAACUGAAACAUCUAAGUACCCCGAGGAAAAGAAAUCAACCGAGAUUCCCCCAGUAGCGGCGAGCGAACGGGGAGGAGCCCAGAGCCUGAAUCAGCAUGUGUGUUAGUGGAAGCGUCUGGAAAGGCGCGCGAUACAGGGUGACAGCCCCGUACACAAAAGCGCAUGUGUUGUGAGCUCGAUGAGUAGGGCGGGACACGUGGUAUCCUGUCUGAAUAUGGGGGGACCAUCCUCCAAGGCUAAAUACUCCUGACUGACCGAUAGUUAACCAGUACCGUGAGGGAAAGGCGAAAAGAACCCCGGCGAGGGGAGUGAAAAAGAACCUGAAACCGUGUACGUACAAGCAGUGGGAGCACAGGUUUACCUGUGUGACUGCGUACCUUUUGUAUAAUGGGUCAGCGACUUAUAUUCUGUAGCAAGGUUAACCGUAUAGGGGAGCCGGAGGGAAACCGAGUCUUAAC